GAUGAACGCUGGCGGCGUGCCUAAUACAUGCAAGUCGAGCGAACAGACGAGGAGCUUGCUCCUCUGACGUUAGCGGCGGACGGGUGAGUAACACGUGGAUAACCUACCUAUAAGACUGGGAUAACUUCGGGAAACCGGAGCUAAUACCGGAUAAUAUAUUGAACCGCAUGGUUCAAUAGUGAAAGACGGUUUUGCUGUCACUUAUAGAUGGAUCCGCGCCGCAUUAGCUAGUUGGUAAGGUAACGGCUUACCAAGGCAACGAUGCGUAGCCGACCUGAGAGGGUGAUCGGCCACACGGGAACUGAGACACGGUCCAGACCCCUACGGGAGGCAGCAGUAGGGAAUGUUCCGCAAUGGGCGAAAGCCUGACGGAGCAACGCCGCGUGAGUGAUGAAGGUCUUCGGAUCGUAAAACUCUGUUAUUAGGGAAGAACAAAUGUGUAAGUAACUAUGCACGUCUUGACGGUACCUAAUCAGAAAGCCACGGCUAACUACGUG
rnacentral:rRNA from 1 species